UACAGCAUUUGGCGGCAGGUUAGGUAU
rnacentral:piRNA from 1 species